GUUUAAACUUGAUUCUUGUCCCGAAAACAAAACAAGUACGCAGUGACAAAUUAAUAAUGUGAACCGUUCAUAACAAAGACCACAUAAGCCAUAUAUAGCUUAUUACACAACAGUAGAAGCAGCAUGCACAACAGGUUUACCACAACAAUUCAACAAACAUCACAUCACAUGUAGCAUUAUUCAUGCCUCAAGAACAUCACCACCACUACUACAACCAGUCAUCACCAACAGCUAAACACCAUAUGUCUCACAUAGACAGAACUAAUAAUGAAGCAAACAACAAAUGGAACACAUCCAGCUCUCCAAUAAUGCAUGCAGGUAACUAAAAGCAGUACUAGAACACGAGCUAUAGCUAGCUAGAACACAAGAACUGCUCGUAUGUAGCUAGGGGAAACCAAUGCAACCAACCAACCACGCAUGCAUGCACGCACGCACGCACGAUGACGACGACGACGACGACGUACUAUAGUAGCAUCACUCUACUACCACGCCGGCGACUGACGGAGUUCAGGGCUUGUUGGCGUGCUCGGGGACGGAGCCGGCGGUGGGGGAGCCGGGCAUGCCGCCGAAGCCGCUGAACGGGGAGCCGCCGCCGAAGAGGGGCAUGCUGCCGAUGCUGCCGCUGCCGGGCAGGAACCCAGGCAUGCUGCUGCCGCCGCUGCUCCCGGGCAGGCUGAACCCGGGAAUGCUGCUGCCAGGAAUGCUGCUGCCGGUGCCGGGGAGGCCGCCGAACGCCGGGGACGCGCCGCCGCCGAGGCGGUCGAAGGGCGGGAAGGUCUGCGGCUGCACCACCGCGUCGUUGUCCGCCUUCUUCUCCG
rnacentral:lncRNA from 1 species